rnacentral:sRNA from 1 species
AUCUUCUUCUUCUUCUGCU